rnacentral:tRNA from 1 species
UGCCUGGUGGUCCAAUGGUUAGGACUCGGCUCUUUCACUGCUGUGGCCUGGGUUCAAUGCCCAGUUGUGGAA